AUGAUGUGGAUCUUGUGCUUUCUCUGUUCCCUGGCAGUGUGGCUGGGCUAUGGACAGUGUCAGACUCUGACUCAGCCUUCACACCUGACUGUGAAACCGGGAAACAAGGCCACACUGGACUGUAACAUUGGAACGGUUGAUAACUAUAACGUGUACUGGUACAAGCAGACACCAGGAUCAGCUCCUCAGUGGAUCCUCUAUUACUAUCACUCGCACAGUGCGCCUACCUAUGGGUCUGGGUUUAGCAGCGACCGUUUCACAUCGACAGCCAACAGCGGCCACAACAUUUACCAGUUAAUCAUCAAAAACGUGGAGGUGAAUGAUGCCGCCGUGUAUUACUGUGGAAAGUGGGUUAGCUCGGCCAGUGCUUGUGUGUUUGGGCAAGGGACCAAGCUCUUUGUUGCAGCUCAGCAACUCCCUGUCCCCUCUUCCUCUGGAAUCUGCUGCAUUUUGUGUUCCUGUUUUGCUCUGGUAAAACUUUGUGCUACCCGGACUUUUCAGGAAGUUUGA